UAAGUUUGAUGGCGACCGGCGCACGGGUGAGUAACACGUAUCCAACCUGCCGAUGACUCGGGGAUAGCCUUUCGAAAGGAAGAUUAAUACCCGAUGGCAUAGUUCUUCCGCAUGGUGGAACUAUUAAAGAAUUUCGGUCAUCGAUGGGGAUGCGUUCCAUUAGGUUGUUGGCGGGGUAACGGCCCACCAAGCCUUCGAUGGAUAGGGGUUCUGAGAGGAAGGUCCCCCACAUUGGAACUGAGACACGGUCCAAACUCCUACGGGAGGCAGCAUG
rnacentral:rRNA from 1 species